UUAGGGUUUAGUUCCUCUGAUCUCAUUGUAGAUCGACUCUAUAAUCCUCAUAUACACAAGCAAUAUAAUCAAGCAGGACGUAGGGUUUUACCCCUUAGAGAGGGCCUGAACCUGGGUAAAUAUCAUUUCCUGUGUCUGUUGUUCCCCGUUAGGGAUGGCAAUUUUAUCCAUGGAUCUUGAUAUCCACGCAUACCUGACCCGGUUGGGCAAGGAUAUGGAGCGUAGUUCUGCCCAUGGAUCCAUGGAUUUUGAUACCCGCGAACAGCCGGGUUGGGCAUGGACAUAAUUUAUGAUCCAUGGAUAUCCAAUCGAUAACCGUAUGAUAGGUGGGGCCAUAUGUCAGUCACACUGGACUAAGCAGAAGUCCAACACCCCAAGUAGUAGCAGUCACACAAGGUCAAAGCCUAUCGCCCCAGCCCAUGUUUCGUGAUCCCCCACAACCCCACUAACCUAAUUAUAUUAAACCUAAUCUAGUCAACCCCCAAUCAUCCCAAGUCUCCAGCAGUCCAGCUCCCUCCAUAGCGCAGCAGCACUCUGCGUCUGACAAAUCUCAAUCGUCGCCCCCGCCUCUCCCUGGACAUCCACCUCAUACCGGCGAUAGGCGCCCAACCCCGGCACCCGGGUUCGACGACCGGCCCCGGGACUGGCCUCGGUGACCAACACCGGCGACAGGCCUUGGCGACGAGCAUUGGCGACAGGCAUGUGGGCACAUACCCAAGGAGUCAACCUCCAAUGGAAGGGGGCAAGGGCAACAGUGGGGGCAACAAUGGGAAGGGCAGGCCCGGGACAGUUAUCAUCCCACGGAGGAGUUUGCCUGGCGAGCAACAGGGUGUCAUCAGUGGAAACACUCCCAAAAACAGUGUUGCCCCUACAGAUGUCUCAGGUGUGGCUGGAGCUUCCAUGGUCUCAAGUUCAACUCUACAAGAGGGUACCAGUACAACAGUGGAGCAACCAAAACUAACCGGUUCUAGAAGGAAGCGUACAUCAGAUGUAUGGGAAAAUUUUAAGACAGAACUAAUCAAUGGGAAAUGGCAGGCAAUAUGCAACUGGUGUCAUAAGCCAUAUGCUGGAGAAUCAACCUCUGAUUUGUGGUCGGCUGGCCAUCAAAAGAGGGGCUAUAUGGCUGUAACUACACAUUAUAUUGAUGCUUCUUGGAAACUAAAGAGCUAGCUAAUGAGGUUUAUUUAUGUUCCAUGUCCACACAAUGCUGAAGUUAUAUGUGAAGAACUACAUGCAUGUCUUGUUAAGUGGCACCUUGAGAAGAAGAUAUCCACGGUGGCCUUGGACAAUUGUGCGUCAAAUGACAAGGCUAUCGAAAUUAUGCCAAAUAAGUUGGACACCUCUUCUCUUAUGAUGGACGGAUCUUUGUUGCAUAUGCAUUGUGCUGCUCAUAUAUUAAAUCAGAUUGUAAAAGAUGGAUUGGAUGUCAUGGAGAAAGGAACUAAGAGGGUACAAGAUAGUGUUGCCUUUUUGUCAGCCACACCUAAAAGACAUGAGAAGUUUGAAAAGAUGGCACGCCUUUUCAACAAUGAAUACAAGUGUAGAUUGGCUCUUGAUUGUAAAACUAGGUGGAAUUCUACCUACAUAAUGUUAAAAGGUGCAUUGCAAUACAAAGAUGUUCUUGAAAGACUUUAUAUACGUGAAAAGAAUUUUACUUGUCCAACCGAAGAAGAUUGGGUCUUUGCUAUGGAGGUUUGUGAUAGGCUGAAAGUGUUCUUUGAUGUCAAAGAGUUGUUGUCGGGCACUCCAUAUGUUACAGCUAGUCUUUUCUUUCCGCAAAUAUGUGGCAUUCGGUUGGCAAUUCGUAAAUGGGAAACUAGUAAACAUAGUGUCAUAAAAGCUAUGUCUAAGGAAAUGAAAGACAAGUUCGAGAAGUAUUGGACAGAUGUCCAUCGUCUUAUGGCUAUUGCCACCAUUGUUGAUCCACAUUGUAAGAUGCAUAUGUUGAAGGCUUCAUUUGGGUCAUCGUAUGGAACUGAACAUAUGCGUCCAUAGAAGUUCAUAAAACAAAGAAGUUAAUGCUAGAUUUGCUGGCUGAAUAUCGAGAUGUAUCUCAGUGUGUUGAAACAUCUAUUGUUGGAAACACCCCAACUGUUCCUAAUGGUGGUGUGGAUGAAAUUUUGGGCGUGUUUGAGCAAUACUUGUCUUCACAACCUGUCGCUCCUUCUCCAGUUCGCACUGAAUUGGACAUGUACUUGGAUGAGCCCCUUAUUCAUAGAACAACAGAUUUUGACAUUAUUAAUUGGUGGAAAGUUGGAGGUGCCAAGUACCCUACUUUGCAGAAGAUUGCUCAUGAUAUAUUACCCAUCCCUAUUACAUCUAUGGCAUCAGAGUCAGUCUUUAAUACUAGUGGGAGGUUACUUAGUGUACAUCGCAAUCGGCUUACACCAAGCAUGGUUGAAGCUCUUAUGUGUAUGCAAGCUUGGUCACGAGCGGACAUGUUAGGUGGUAUCAACUUCGCUCUACAAGCAGUUCAAAAUGUUCUUGAUGAUGAAGAAGAAGUGAUGGAUGAAAAUGAGUCCAUCAUUACUGAAGACUAAUUUCGAGCCAAGUGUGCUCAUUUGGACAUGUGGCCCAAUUACUAGUGCACGUACUGUUGGAAGUGCAUUUGAAUUUUGAAAUAAGUUACGUACUUUAUUUAUGCAACUUCGGUUGUGAUGUAAUAAGAUCUUACAACUUUGGUUGUGAUGUAAUAAGAUUUAAGACAAGAAUUCUACUAUGAGACUAUUUGAGUUGUCAACUUGUCAUUGUGUGGUCUAAUGUUUUUAACGAAAUAAGAUAAGAUUGAAGACAAGUUUUUUACUA